rnacentral:rRNA from 1 species
CGCAGCAGGCGCGAAACCUCCGCAAUGUGAGAAAUCGGCGACGGGGGGAUCCCAAGUGCCAUUCUUAACGGGAUGGCUUUUCAUAAGUGUAAAAAGCUUUUGGAAUAAGAGCUGGGCAAGACCGGUGCCAGCCGCCGCGGUAACACCGGCAGCUCUAGUGGUAGCAGUUUUUAUUGGGCCUAAAGCGUUCGUAGCCGGUUUAAUAAGUCUCUGGUGAAAUCCUGUAGCUUAACUGUGGGAAUUGCUGGUGAUACUGUUGAACUUGAGACCGGGAGAGGUUAGAGGUACUCCCAGGGUAGAGGUGAAAUUCUGUAAUCCUGGGAGGACCGCCUGUUGCGAAGGCGUCUAACUGGAACGGUUCUGACGGUGAGGGACGAAAGUUAGGGGCGCGAACCGGAUUAGAUACCCGGGUAGUCCUAGCUGUAAACGAUGCGGACUUGGUGUUGGGGUGGCUUUGAGCUGCUCCGGUGCCGAAGGGAAGCUGUUAAGUCCGCCGCCUGGGAAGUACGGUCGCAAGACUGAAACUUAAAGGAAUUGGCGGGGG